ensembl:lincRNA
GCGCUCCGGGGUGCGGUGACUUGGCAGAGGGGAGCAUGUCGCUGGCUGGUCACGUAGCUCCCCGUGCCCCCAGUGAUCACAGAGGUUCACUUCUCACCUCGCCUGUGCCCCCUUGUUUCCUGUGGUAAGAGGCUGUAACAGCCACUCUGGUGAGCGUUGUACUGAAGAGAAAGUACGUGGGAGCCUGCAGGGCUGCCUCCGACCGCCUGCGGCCGGCUGAUCGAGCCGGUGACCCCCUUCGGACCCUGUGUCCUCGCCUUUGCGAAGGGAAGAAACAUUCCUCAAGUGUCUACAUGUUCUAGAAGGAAUUUUUCAAAGGUGGCCUCUUCAGAAUCAUCUGAUGGGGGCUGGGGAUACAGCUCAGCGGCACAGCUCCUGCCUGGCAAGCCCAAGGUCAUGAGUUCGACUCCCGGUACCAGAAAAAAACAAACCAAAAAACCAAAAAUCCCCCCCAAAACAGAAUCAUCUGAAGGCAUCAGGCCUCUGAAGCAAGGGGAAGAGAAGAAAGCUGAAACACAAGGUUCAUCUGAGUGAACUCAUCCCCUGCCGUUACUCUGCAGUCUGUUUCACUCAGUGGAACCUUUUAGGGAAGAGGUUCUUCGGUGUUCAUCUUGAAUCCCCUGCCAGUCACCCAGGCCGCUGGCCCCAAGGGCUCCUUCUGUCUUGCCCCAUCGCUCCAAGAGCUUCACUGUUGGAAAGGAAAAUGCCCUGCAAGGUGUAGUGUGCGAACAGCCGGUACCUUGGGUGGUGAAAGAAUUCAACAGUCAAGGAAUAUAGAAAAGUGGUUUUUACCUGGGCAUUGUGGUGCACACCUGUAAUCCCAGCACUCGGGAGGCUGAGGCAGAGGAGGAUUGUUGCGAGUUCGAGACCAACGGAGGCUACAAAGUGAGCUCAAGGCCAGUUUGAACUGCAUAGUGAGACCCUGUCUCAAAAAAAACACAAAAAAAGAAAAAGCCAGCCUGAGCUACACAGCAAGAUCCUGUCUCAAAAAACAAACAAACAAGCAAACCGAUGUUUAUUGAUUCACUGCAAGUUCCAAGAGAAGACUGGAGUGAAAGAGCAGUGGUUUUACAAGUGUCUGAGCAUGAGGGAGGGUUGAGAGGAUCCAGGGUAUCGGGAAGGCUUUCUUCAUGAUGGCUUACACUGUGGUUCACGGGGGACACUGUGUCAUGUCAAAUUUUACAUCAAGCCGGGCGUGGUAGCGCACGCCUGUAAUCCCAGCACUCGGGAGGCUGAGGCAGAGGAGGAUUGUUGCGAGUUCGAGACCAACCGAGGCUACAAAGUGAGCUCAAGGCCAGCCUGAACUGCAUAGUGAGACCCUGUCUCAAAAGCACAAACAAACAAACAAAAAACCCCCCCAAAAUAGUUCUGUUUGAGACUACUAUAAGAAAAAGAAAAGAAAAAGAGAAGAAAAAAAGAUCCUUACAACAUCAGGCUGAGGAAAGCCCGGUGGCCCCACUUCCUGUGUGGUAGCUUAGCCAGUGUCCCUGACACCCUCUCGCCAGCCUGAAAAUUACCUAACAGCCCUGCUGGCUUUCAAAACCUGAGCCUCUUCCUUCCCAAACACCGAACCCAAUGAUGUCCCAGAUACUUUGGAAGCUGAGGCAAGAGGAUGGAAAGUUCCAGGCCAGCCUGGGCAAUUUGUCUCAAAAUAAAAAAUAAGAGGGCACCUGUGGCACACAUACACAUUGUUAUCCAAGCACUUUGGGAGGCUGAGGCAGGAAGUUAGUGAUUUAGUGAGACCCUGUCUCAAAAUAAAUAAAUUCUAAACCUAAUUCCUAAUUCCAAAAUUAAUCAGUUGUCUUGGUGUGUAUGCAUGUGUGUGGUGUAUGUGUUGUUUUGGUGCUGGGGAUUGAGCACAGGGCUGGAAUGCUAAGCAUGUCCUCUGCCACUGAGAUACACCUGAGCCUCUUGUUUUUGUUUUUUUUUUUCCCUCCAUUCCUGAGAACUGAACCAGGGCCCUCAAACUGGCUCCAUCUGCAACUCUUUUCGUAGUUUUGGAUUUUGAGGCAAGACCUCCCUAACCAAUAAGUUGCCCAGGCUGAACUCAAACUUGUGAUGCCCCUGCCUCUGCCUCCCAGAGUGCUGGGAUUAUAGGAUAUAUGCCACCAUAUUUGGCUUCCUCUUGGGAUUAUUAUAAUCAUCCUAGAGAGCAGUUAAACCGGUUACUGGGUCUCUCUCAGUCUUUUUUUUUUUUUCCUCCCAGUCUAAAAAGAAAGACUGGGAGAGGUCCCUCUCCUUGUCAUGAAAUGUGCAAGGAAAGCUGGUGUGGUGGCCUGUAAUGCCAGCUCGCCAGGAGCCUGAGGCAGGAGGACUGCAACUCUGAGUCCAGCCUGGGCAACUUAGGAGGCUCAGUGAGACUGAUGCAAACUAAAAAAAGGGGGGCUGGGGAUGUAGCUCAGCGUGAAGGUUCUGGGUUCAAUCUCCAGUAUCACUUAAAGAACAAGAAGAAAAGGAGGAGGACGAUAAUGAUAAAGAAGAAAAAACAGUACAAGAAAAGGGUGUAGGGCCAGGGAUGUAGCUCAGUGACACAGCUCCUUCCUGGCAAGCAUGAGGUCCUGCAUUUGAUUCCCCAGUUAGGGGCAGCAUGACUAGGGACACAAAGCAGCACUAGAAAAAAAAAAAAAAAAAAGCAGCACAAAAAAAAGAAGGUGAGGUGUGGCUCAGUGGUAGAGCAAGGGCUCAGCACACACAAAGCUGUGGGCUCCGUCUCCAACACACACCUAUAAUAUGUGUGUUUCCGGGCCAGCCCACAGA